rnacentral:rRNA from 1 species
AUUGAACGCUGGCGGCAGGCUUACCACAUGCAAGUCGAGCGGAGAUGAGGUGCUUGCACCUUAUCUUAGCGGCGGACGGGUGAGUAAUGCUUAGGAAUCUGCCUAUUAGUGGGGGACAACAUUCCGAAAGGAAUGCUAAUACCGCAUACGCCCUACGGGGGAAAGCAGGGGAUCUUCGGACCUUGCGCUAAUAGAUGGGCCUAAGUCGGAUUAGCUAGUUGGUGGGGUAAAGGCCUACCAAGGCGACGAUCUGUAGCGGGUCUGAGAGGAUGAUCCGCCACACUGGGACUGAGACACGGCCCAGACUCCUACGGGAGGCAGCAGUGGGGAAUAUUGGACAAUGGGCGGAAGCCUGAUCCAGCCAUGCCGCGUGUGUGAAGAAGGCCUUUUGGUUGUAAAGCACUUUAAGCGAGGAGGAGGCUACCUGGAUUAAUACUCUAGGAUAGUGGACGUUACUCGCAGAAUAAGCACCGGCUAACUCUGUGCCAGCCGCCGCGGUAAAAC